AACUACCCAAAAACCCCUUACAACAUCACUUAAACAUGCAUAGAAAACAACCUUGAAAAGGCUGGACAGGGCACUUUCGGCGGCACCUUCGGCGGCCGAACCCUCUCUCCAGAGACGAAACUCGGGCACCUUCGGCGGCCGAAAGUCCCACUCCAGAGACAAAAGUCAGGCACUUUCGGCGGCCGAAUCCUUCCUUCGGCGGUCGAAAGUCUGCUUUCAAGCCAAAACUCAACUUUCGGAGGCAAGGUUAGGCGGCCAAACCAUGCAUCCAAAGGCAGGUUCGGCGGCCGAAACCACCUUCGGCGGCCGAACCUGAGUUCUUCCCAGAAGGGCAGAACUCAGCUUCUCAUGCAUUCAAGCCUCCCAAACCUUCCAAACACCCCAAAACAAGCACCCAACCUUUCCAAAACAUGCAUAAAUCCUUAACCAUGCACAAAGGAGCUUAAUAGCUUGAUUAAACUCCAAAAACAGCAUCAAAACAUACAUAGAUAACUUAUGACCCACAUAGGCCAAAACCAUCAAAACAACCCAAAUCCUCACAUACUCUCUCCCCAUCAUGCAUACUCACUCCCACAUGCAUAACGUAGCCUAAACAUUCAACAUAGCAUCAUAUAAACAUACAUGAGCAUCACACAACAUACAUUGGGCAUAAAACCCACAUAAAUCCUAACAUGCAUAUCUACCCAUACUCUACCAUUAAAACCUUCAUAAAACUUCAAAAGAUACUAGGAAAGCAAAGAUCUAUACUUACCUCUUGAAGAUCGAGGGUUGCAUGAUCUCUAACUCAGAGGUGUGGAGAAUCCAAGCUCCAAAAAGCUCCAAGCUCCCAAAACUUCGAUCUAAGCUUUAAAACUCUUCAAAAUAACCAUGGAACUCAUGAAAACAUGAAGGAGAUGAAGAAAAACAUGAAAACGGCCAAGGGAGGACAAAAACUCACCUGAGCUCGAGAAUGGGGAGAAAACUCGCCCAUUUCCGAUCUGAGGGGCUUUUAUAGGUGGCCUGCUGAACCACCUUUGGCAGCCUAACGUGCCCCCUAAACUCAUGCAUGUUCGGCGGCCGAACUUGACUUUCGGCGGCCGAACCUUGGCUCGUUCAAACAAGAAUUUCGGAGGCCAAAAGCACUCCCGAAGCCUUCCCAUGUUCGGCGGCCGAACUUCACUUUCGGCGGCCGAACCUGGCAAACGCCUCCUUGGUCUUUUCCUUUCAAAACUCAAUUCUUUUUCAUUUAAAACCAUGAAAUCAGGUAAAAACCUUUUAGAAAACACAUUUUACCCCUCUAGAAACCUCUGGCAUCUUCAGAAAUUCCAGAUUUCAACGGAGAUUCCGCCAGAAGGCAGGGAUUCCGAUGCUGGAAUCUAGCCGGGUAUUACAUUCUUGCCCCCUUUAAGAACAUUCGUCCCCGAAUGUUCACCAAACAAACAGGCAUUCUCAAGCAUAGCAUCAAUCAUACAUAAACAAGCAAGCAAACCAGCAAGCAAAACCUAAAAAUCUCUCUCUUGAAAGAGAGACACAGGCACUGCUGGAGUAUAAACUCCUGGGUCUUCCAAACACACCUUUCCAUACUGUGGUGAUUCCAAAGCACUUACACCAUCAGGAUUCCUUGUUCCUCAACUUCCUAACUUAUGUGUCUAAGAUCCGCACUAACUGCUCAACUUAGGUGAGAUCCCUUGAGACCUCCACCUCUGGUUCUUUGAGAACCUCACUUGGAUCUGACAUGAGCUUCCGUAACACAGGAAUCCGGAAAUCCGAAUGGACUUCUCCAUAGGAAAUCACCCUUAUCAAAAGAAACACCUUAGCAGUACCCAACCUACUCCUGAAACUCGACAUGCUUCCACUGCGCUACUCUGAUCCUUUCUCCUUCUCUCCAUCUUCACUAACUGGCUUCUUCUCACUUCUGACCCAAAACUAACUCUAACUCUCACAGGUAGUACCCGGAUUUCAGAUCUAUCUUGGAAAACAACCAGCUCCUACUAGCUGUCCCAAUAGAUCAUCCAUCCUGCAUGGGAAUACCUGCCCUUGGUAGUGACCUUGUUCAACUGCCUGAAGUUGACACAGGGUGUCAAGGAUCCAUCCUGCUUUUCCCACAACGACACUGGAGCAAUCCAGGGUGAGGUACUAGGUCGGAUAAAACUCCUGUCUACCAAGUCUCGCCUCUACUCUGACUACUACCUCUCUCUACGCAGGCGCCAUCCCAUAGGGAAGGAAAGAAAUGGUUCUGGAUCCAGACACCACUCCUACUCCAAGCUCUAACCCCCUGACAGAUGGUAAACCUGACAACUCGCCUGGGAAGACAUCUAAGAACUCUCUCUAACAACUGGCAUCGAGGCUGGUUCCCCGACCUGACUGCUAAACUCUCAACAAGAACUCGAACCCUCUGACAACCCCUCCUACGUACCCUACGAACCUGACAGGCUGACAUCAAACCUCUAGGCAUCCCUACUGUGUCCCCUCAGAAGACUAUCUCUGACCCAUCCUGUCCUCUGAACUUGACUACCUUGUCUCUGCAGACCAAGAUAGCACCACGAGCAGAAACCAAUCCAACCCUAAACUGACGUCCAGACAGUCAAGUCUAGGACCUCAAAGUCGAGUGGAAGGCAUCUACCCUCAACUGACACAGAACUGGACCGGCAGACUAACUCCGCCACAGAUGGAUCACACUCGGUUCCACUGACCCAAAGAGAACACUCUAACCCAGAAGCUAUCAACUCAACCCCUCGACGGCUCCUAGAGUAACUAAAGAAAGAGAAAAACACUAGGGUUCACAAAAACAUACACAUCAAAACAUUCAAAAGUGAGCGUACCUGACACCACCAUGUUCGAUGUGUCUGCCUCCUGCUGAGCUUGGGUGAAGAUCCGAGCUGGAGCUGACGGACUUUCUCCACGGGAACCUCCAAAAGAAAAGGCUGACCCUUUUCCUCUGCCUCGACCACUAACCUGAACCAUGGCUGGAGCUACCGGCUUAGCCGCUCUACCUGAAGCUGUUCGCUGGGGAUGAGCCACCCAGGGCAUAGUAGGACACUCACGUGCUAUGUGCCCCUCCUGCCUGCAUCUGAAACAUGCCGUUGUCCCCACCAGACAGACUCCCUUGUGCGGCCUUCCGCACCUCAAGCAUCUUGAACUGCCUGAGCCAGAGCUCGAACCACCACCUAAACCCAGACUAGCCUUCAAAUUCUUCCAAAACUUCUUCUUCGACCUUCUGAGGCCUCUGCUCCACUUCUUCGUGGUGUUUCCCCACCUUUUAUCUCUUGAGGCAGCUGUACUCAGAGUGGAGGGAUCAAUCCCUCCUGAUCCUGAGAUCCUGGAAUCCUGAGUUUGAGCAUUCUCCUGAGAAUCUCCCAUACUGACAUAUCUUCUCUGAACAUCCAUCUCCACUUCUCUCGCACUAGCUGACAUCCUUCUUGGAGCCAUUCUUUCUCUGCUUACAUCAAAAGACCUUCCAGGGUCCCUUGAUGUUCCCCAUCUGCUGACUCCCCACGACUGCGCUCUUGGCAGAGUAGGGGGAAAGGUGUCCGUACCUUCCCUCUCAGAUGGAACUCUAGUCGAUUCCACAGAUCGACGAGCACCUCGCAUUCUGGCUCCUCUGAAGAACAACACACAAGCAUGCAAUCAAUCAUUAGCAUCAUACGGUUCAUAUGAAAACACAUGAACCCACAUACAUAUCAUACAUACAUAACAUUAAUGCACAUGCAUAAAAUCAUGGCAUUUCACUUCAUCAAUCAAGACAGGACUCAACAUCCUAUCCUAGUGGACAUGAUUUUUCCUAUUGUGCUUGCCCUUCUAUGACCUCUAAGCCAACCUCUUUUCGAUGUACAACACACCGUACUCUCGAGGCCCAAAGCUCUGAUACCACUCUGUAACGACCCGAAAACUGAUACCCCUCCGUAACGGCCCGAACCGCUACCGGCGCUAGGAUCCAGAUCGGCUUAAGGCGGCCGGGACCCGUAGCAAGCCAAACAUACCUCCUAUCACCUGGUCAAAUCCCAUACAUGAUCGAAACUGCAACAUAAAAACUGAAAACAUAUGAUGUAUAGACCGAGCUUGACCUGUAUGCAACAUAACUGGUAACAUAAAGAACCCCCUACUAGAGCCCUCAUCAAAACUCUAGCUGGGUCAACAUAACAUACAUCAAGCUGGGAUUACAUACAAGGAACUAGAACCUAACCUGAGCAUGCAUCAGACCACAAACAUAAGACCUCCACUAGGGUCCUUAUCAAACACUAGCGUGGUAAACAACACAUGCCACCAGUUUAGUUCAAACAUAACUCCACAAAAAAAAACCAAAACAUACAUCAUGUAUUAAACAGGGACUAACCAAGUCUCAGGACCAAGCACAGUACUAAACCAUAAACAUAACUCUACUAUACUUUACAUUACAUAACCGUAUCUCAAAUUACAUUACAUGUCCACACUAAAAGUACUAAGCUAUUGCUAUUACAAGCCUUUUACCCUUGACGUCUUCCUGGCCUACCUCUGACCUGCAAAACUGGGGUUAGGGGAGAGGGGUGAGCUAAAAAGCCCAGUGAGUAGAACAUAUAAAACAUGUGAUAAAACAUGAUCUCAUGGAAUGCAUCACAUCACAAGUAAAUCACAUCAUCUCAUAUGGACGGAUCAAAACUCCCUCGGAUCUGUGCCCGGCCCGCAAAGGAGCUCCUCAGGUCUUUACUGUACAAUCAAAUAGUACCGAAGUACUCUGUGCCCGGCCCCUCUCAGAGGCUCCUCAGGACUUUACUGUACCCGGCCCUCGAUGGGGCUCCUCAGGUCUUUACUGUGAGGGCUAAUGUAUCCAAAACUAUGUCCGAUUUGUCACAUCAUACAAUGUACAAGGAGCAGUGCCAAGUACAAGGUUAAAUGCAAUGCCUCAUAUUCGUGUACACUAAUGCAAUCAAUCCUACUAUUCAUCAUGAUGCAUGAAACAUGCUAAAAGUAUUUGAUUUCAUAAAUUAAAAGAUUAAGUUUAAUUCUACUCACCUCUGGCAGACGCUGAACUGACUCUGCAACUGCUAAUACUGAUGGCCUCCUCGAUCCCUCGGGUCCGAUCCUACACAGGUGGACUCGAAUGAGGUGCUAACACACUCUAAACAACUCAUAAACAACUACCCAAAAACCCUUUACAACAUCACUUAAACAUGCAUAGAAAACAACCUUGAAAAGGCUGGACAGGGCACUUUCGGCGGCACCUUCGGCGGCCGAACCCUCUCUCCAGAGACGAAACUCGGGCACCUUCGGCGGCACCUUCGGCGGCCGAAAGUCCCACUCCAGAGACGAAAGUCAGGCACUUUCGGCGGCCGAAUCCUUCCUUCGGCGGCCGAAUCCUUCCUUCGGCGGCCGAAAGCCUGCUUUCAAGCCAAAACUCAACUUUCGGGGGCAAGGUUAGGCGGCCAAACCAUGCAUCCAAAGGCAGGUUCGGCGGCCGAAACCACCUUCGGCGGCCGAACCUGAGUUCUUCCCAAAAGGGC
rnacentral:lncRNA from 1 species